rnacentral:lncRNA from 1 species
AGCUCUUCAGAGUUAGUGGCGGGGAUCUUUAAUCACUGAGCCAUCUCACCAGGCCGCUUGCUUCUUGUUCUCAUUUCUCACUAUGAUAGCCCCGUUAGAAGAUACUUUUCCUGCCUCAGUCACAAGAGAGGAAGGCAGUUGGCAAAUGCUCUUUAGAAAUGUAGUUUGCCAAGGAGAGAAGCUGUGGGGCUUAGAAGGUGAACAUGAAUCUUGCCAGCAGCACCCAGUGCUAGGGACCAGGGUGGGAAGAUCAAAUCACAACAUCACACACGGGCACCCAGCCCUUGAGCCAUGCAAAUUGUGAUAGUCCAGUAUGUUGAGGACUCCAGAUGUGGACAGAGUAUGCUGGAUGGUCUAGCCUGAUGCUGGGGAGAGCAUCCGCAGCUGCCUGCCGGGGAGUGCUGCCUGAGAUCCAGUAUGCAGCUAACAGUCUUCAGGUGAAGUUGUAGAAUCUCAGCUCUCCCUGCACCAUGCCUGCCUGGAUGCUCCCAUGUUCCUGCUUUGAUGAUAAUGGUCUGAACCUCUGAACUUGUAAGCCAGCCCCAAUUAAAUGUUGUCCUUAUAAGA